GCCUCGGUGGCUUAGAGGUAUAGCACCUGCUUGGUAAGCAGGAGGUCACGGGUCCAAUUCCCGUCCGAGGCU
rnacentral:tRNA from 1 species